rnacentral:rRNA from 1 species
AGUCUAGCGGGGGACGGGAGCUUGCUCCUUGAUUCAGCGGCGGACGGGUGAGUAAUGCCUAGGAAUCUGCCUGGUAGUGGGGGACAACGUUUCGAAAGGAACGCUAAUACCGCAUACGUCCUACGGGAGAAAGCAGGGGACCUUCGGGCCUUGCGCUAUCAGAUGAGCCUAGGUCGGAUUAGCUAGUUGGUGAGGUAAUGGCUCACCAAGGCGACGAUCCGUAACUGGUCUGAGAGGAUGAUCAGUCACACUGGAACUGAGACACGGUCCAGACUCCUACGGGAGGCAGCAGUGGGGAAUAUUGGACAAUGGGCGAAAGCCUGAUCCAGCCAUGCCGCGUGUGUGAAGAAGGUCUUCGGAUUGUAAAGCACUUUAAGUUGGGAGGAAGGGCAGUAAGUUAAUACCUUGCUGUUUUGACGUUACCGACAGAAUAAGCACCGGCUAACUCUGUGCCAGCAGCCGCGGUAAUACAGAGGGUGCAAGCGUUAAUCGGAAUUACUGGGCGUAAAGCGCGCGUAGGUGGUUCGUUAAGUUGGAUGUGAAACCCCCCGGGCUCACCUGGGACUGCAUCCAAACUGGCGAGCUAGAAUACGGGGGAGGGGGGUGGGAAUUUCUGUGUAGCGGUGAAUGGCGUAAUUUAGGAAGGACACCGUGGCGAAGGCGACCCCCUGGCUGAUCUUAACUUGCGGCCAA